GUUCGCUUCUGCAGCACAUAUACUAAAACUGAAACGAUACAGAGUAGAUUAGCAUGGUCCCUGUGCAAGGAUGACACGCAAAUUCGUGAAGUGUUUCAUAUUAAA